GUUUUUUCGCAAGUCAUCCCGAUUUCACUUCAGCUGAGAUUAGAGGCGUCAAAGCUGCAAGGUCCGAAAGAUAUUCUUAUGGCGAUUCAGCUAUUGGAUAUGUUCAAGUAAAUAGGGAAGCAAACAUAUGUGUAGUGAAAGAUCGUAUUACUCCCGAACAUAAUGUGGAUGUAAGCAUGCAAUAGCUUUUAUAGCUUGGCUGCACAGGUGUAGCGAAGACCCUCCCUCUACUAGUAUCGACUGUUACUGGAAGAAGUCCAAAUUAUCCACGAUAGGCACAACCCUAAAGUAUAUAAGAGCUGAAGAGUUAUGUAGUAGUUCAAAGGCCAAACCUGCUCCAUCUGCCAAUACUCGAAGCCUUCUGCCAACUCUAAUAAACCAUAGCAAAAGCAUCGGUCACAUGGAAAGUCAACUCAUGAAAUACUAUAAGGAAAA